AGCAGACUCAAGGCUCAGGGAUUCUUCUUUCCUAAAAAGCAGCACUAUUCACAAUCCCUCUGCAGCAUAGCUGGAGUUAUGGUUGUAGGCCGUGGAUUUAGAGUUCCUGGUGCUGAAUAAUGAGUGCUUCUGACAUAUCACAUGAAGAUAAUACAGGUGCCGUACACGAUGGUUAUGCUCAGACACCAAGUAUGUGACACAAAUCUGACACUGGUUUGUACAGACAGAAGUGACCCAGAUACCUGUCCAAAAGUAAAAUUGUGAAAUGCCAUCUUGUCCCUGCUAUGAAUAAAGGGUACAAAACCCAAAGCACCCAGCUUCUUCGGGCACUAGAAAAAGAAGGCAGAGAAGAAAACAGACCUACUGCUACAAAAGCAAAUAAAUAAA